CGAUCAGUAGCCGGCCUGAGAGGGCGACCGGCCACAUUGGGACUGAGACACGGCCCAGACUCCUACGGGAGGCAGCAGUGGGGAAUAUUGCACAAUGGGGGAAACCCUGAUGCAGCGACGCUGCGUGAGCGAUGAAGUAUUUCGGUAUGUAAAGCUCUAUCAGCAGGGAAGAUAAUGACGGUACCUGACUAAGAAGCACCGGCUAAAUACGUGCCAGCAGCCGCGGUAAUACGUAUGGUGCAAGCGUUAUCCGGAUUUACUGGGUGUAAAGGGAGCGUAGGUGGCAAGGCAAGCCAGAAGUGAAAACCCGGGGCUCAACCGCGGGAUUGCUUUUGGAACUGUCAUGCUAGAGUGCAGGAGGGGUGAGCGGAAUUCCUAGUGUAGCGGUGAAAUGCGUAGAUAUUAGGAGGAACACCGGAGGCGAAGGCGGCUCACUGGACUGUAACUGACACUGAGGCUCGAAAGCGUGGGGAGCAAACAAAAAUGGNUCCCCUGGUGUCCACGCGGUAAACGAUCAUAAAAGAUGUGGGGAAGCAAAGCUUCUCGGUGUCGUCGCAAACGCAAUAAUUUUCCCACCUGGGGAGUACUUUCGCAAAGAAGAAAACUCAAAGGAAAUUGACGGGGACCCGCACAAGCGGUGGAGCAUGUGGUUAAAUUCGAAGCAACGCGAAGACCCUUCCCUGCUCUUGACAUCCCAUUCGAUAGAGGGUAAUGCCUCUAGCCCUUCGGGGGAAUGGAGACAGGUGGUGCAUGGUUGUCGUCAGCUCGUGUCGUGAGAUGUUGGGUUAAGUCCCGCAACGAGCGCAACCCUUAUUGUCAGUAGCCAGCAGGUGAAGCUGGGCACUCUGAUGAGACUGCCGGGGAUAACCCGGAGGAAGGUGGGGAUGACGUCAAAUCAUCAUGCCCCUUAUGAGCAGGGCUACACACGUGCUACAAUGGCGUAAACAGAGGGAAGCGAAGGAGUGAUCCGGAGCAAAUCUCAAAAAUAACGUCUCAGUUCGGAUUGUAGUCUGCAACUCGACUACAUGAAGCUGGAAUCGCUAGUAAUCGCAGAUCAGAAUGCUGCGGUGAAUACGUUCCCGGGUCUUGUACUCACCGCCCGUCA
rnacentral:rRNA from 1 species